UCUCGGCUUAUCACCGGCAGUCCCCCUAGAGUGCCCAACUGAAUGAUGGCAACUAAGGGCGAGGGUUGCGCUCGUUGCGGGACUUAACCCAACAUCUCACGACACGAGCUGACGACAACCAUGCACCACCUGUAAACCGGCCACAAGUGGCUGACGCAUCUCUGCGCCAUUCCGAUUCAUGUCAAACCCAGGUAAGGUUCUUCGCGUUGCAUCGAAUUAAUCCACAUGCUCCGCCGCUUGUGCGGGCACCCGUCAAUUCCUUUGAGUUUUAGCCUUGCGGCCGUAGUCCCCAGGCGGUGUACUCACUGCGUAAGCUAAGGCACCGAGCAGCGCAAUCACUGCCCAGCGCCGGGUACACAUCGUUUACGGCGUGGACUAC
rnacentral:misc_RNA from 1 species